GGGCGUAAAGAGCUCGUAGGCGGUUUGUCGCGUCUGCUGUGAAAUCCGGAGGCUCAACCUCCGGCCUGCAGUGGGUACGGGCAGACUAGAGUGCGGUAGGGGAGAUUGGAAUUCCUGGUGUAGCGGUGGAAUGCGCAGAUAUCAGGAGGAACACCGAUGGCGAAGGCAGAUCUCUGGGCCGUAACUGACGCUGAGGAGCGAAAGGGUGGGGAGCAAACAGGCUUAGAUACCCUGGUAGUCCACCCCGUAAACGUUGGGAACUAGUUGUGGGGUCCAUUCCACGGAUUCCGUGACGCAUUUAACGCAUUAAGUUCCCCGCCUGGGGAGUACGGCCGCAAGGCUAAAACUCAAAGGAAUUGACGGGGACCCGCACAGAGCGGCGGAGCAUGCGGAUUAAUUCGAUGCAACGCGAAGAACCUUACCAAGGCUUGACAUAUACGAGAACGGGCCAGAAAUGGUCAACUCUUUGGACACUCGUAAACAGGUGGUGCAUGGUUGUCGUCAGCUCGUGUCGUGAGAUGUUGGGUUAAGUCCCGCAACGAGCGCAACCCUCGUUCUAUGUUGCCAGCACGUAAUGGUGGGAACUCAUGGGAUACUGCCGGGGUCAACUCGGAGGAAGGUGGGGAUGACGUCAAAUCAUCAUGCCCCUUAUGUCUUGGGCUUCACGCAUGCUACAAUGGCCGGUACAAAGGGCUGCAAUACCGCGAGGUGGAGCGAAUCCCAAAAAGCCGGUCCCAGUUCGGAUUGAGGUCUGCAACUCGACCUCAUGAAGUCGGAGUCGCUAGUAAUCGCAGAUCAGCAACGCUGCGGUGAAUACGUUCCCGGGUCUUGUACACACCGCCCGUCAAGUCAUGAAAGUCGGUAACACCUGAAGCCGGUGGCCUAACCUUUUUGGAGGGAGCCGUCGAAGGUGGGAUUGGCAAUUAGGACU
rnacentral:rRNA from 1 species